rnacentral:hammerhead_ribozyme from 1 species
ACCAGCUGACGAGUCCUAAAUAGGACGAAAUGCGCAUCCUGAAU